ACUCCUACGGGAGGCAGCAGUGGGAAUAUUGGACAAUGGGGAACCCGUAGCAUCCAGCCAUGCCGCGUGUGUGAAGAAGGCCUUCGGGUUGUAAAGCACUUUCAGUGGGGAGGAAAGGUUGAUGGUUAAUACCUAUCAGCUGUGACGUUACCCACAGAAGAAGCACCGGCUAACUCCGUGCCAGCAGCCGCGGUAAUACGGAGGGUGCAAGCGUUAAUCGGAAUUACUGGGCGUAAAGCGUGCGCAGGCGGUCUGUUAAGCGAGAUGUGAAAGCCCGG
rnacentral:rRNA from 1 species